rnacentral:rRNA from 1 species
ACGGGUGAGUAACGCGUGGGCAAUCUACCUUCUUGUGGGGAAUAACGCUCCGAAAGGAGUGGUAAUACCGCAUAAGACCCAUGGCUGGGAUGCUGUGGGUGAAACCUGGGGACCUUCGGGCCUGGGGCGAGAAGAGGAGCCUGCGUCUGAUUAGCUAGUUGGUGGGGUAAUGGCCUACCAAGGCAUCGAUCAGUAGCCGGCCUGAGAGGGUGAUCGGCCACACUGGAACUGAGACACGGUCCAGACUCCUACGGGAGGCAGCAGUGGGGAAUUUUGCGCAAUGGGCGAAAGCCUGACGCAGCAACGCCGCGUGGGUGAUGAAGGUCUUCGGAUCGUAAAACCCUGUCGUUGGGGACGAAGGUGGGGGCGUUAAUAGCGCUUCUGCUUGACGGUACCCGGAGAGGAAGCCCCGGCUAACUCUGUGCCAGCAGCCGCGGUAAUACAGAGGGGGCAAGCGUUAUUCGGAAUUAUUGGGCGUAAAGGGCGCGUAGGCGGUUUUUUAAGUCAGAUGUGUAAUCCCCGAGCUCAACUUGGGAACUGCAUCUGAGACUGGAAGGCUAGAGUACUGGAGAGGGUGGUGGAAUUCCUCGUGUAGCGGU